GAUUCGGAGCUUACCAUGCAGUCGAGGGGCAGCACGGGUAGCAAUACUUGGUGGCGACCGGCGCAAGGGUGCGUAACGCGUGAGCAACAUGCCCGUAUCAGGGGGAUAAUCCAGGGAAACUUGGUCUAAUACCCCAUAGUAAUUUCGUAAGGCAUCUUAUGGGAUUUAAAGCUUUGGUGGAUACGGAUUGGCUCGCGUGACAUUAGCUGGAUGGUAAGGUAACGGCUUACCAUGGCUAUGAUGUCUAGGGGUUCUGAGAGGAAGGUCCCCCACACUGGAACUGAGACACGGUCCAGACUCCUACGGGAGGCAGCAGUGAGGAAUAUUGGACAAUGGAUGGAAAUCUGAUCCAGCCAUGCCGCGUGAAGGAAGAAUGUCCUAUGGAUUGUAAACUUCUUUUGUAUGGGAGCAAUAAGGUCUUCGUGAAGACUGAUGAGAGUACCAUACGAAUAAGCAUCGGCUAACUCCGUGCCAGCAGCCGCGGUAAUACGGAGGAUGCGAGCGUUAUCCGGAUUUAUUGGGUUUAAAGGGUGCGUAGGCUGUUAUAUAAGUCAGUGGUGAAAUAUUCGGGCUCAACCGGGAUACUGCCAUUGAUACUGUAUAGCUGGAAUAUGGUUGCUGUGGGUGGAAUGUGUGGUGUAGCGGUGAAAUGCAUAGAUAUCACACAGAAUAUCGAUUGCGAAGGCAACUCACAAAGCCAUUAUUGACGCUGAUGCACGAAAGUGUGGGGAUCAAACAGGAUUAGAUACCCUGGUAGUCCACACUGUAAACGAUGAUAACUAGCUGUCGGCGAUAGAUAGUCGGUGGCUAAGCGAAAGCG
rnacentral:rRNA from 1 species